AUUGAUAUGGACGUUAAUAAGAAAACUCCCUGGCAUGCAUUUUUCAGGAUCUCACCUCAAAACAGAUGAUGUAGACACCUUCCUUGGACAUUGCCUUCUCUACCUCUUAGGGGUGUUCUUUAUUACUUAUGUAUUCUGGAAGGAAUACCAUGAAAAUGAGAAAACAAAAGGAAAUGAUCAACUUAAGAAAGAAAAUGGUAAACUU